rnacentral:rRNA from 1 species
UACGAAGGGGGCUAGCGUUGCUCGGAAUUACUGGGCGUAAAGCGCACGUAGGCGGCUUUCUAAGUCGGGGGUGAAAGCCUGGAGCUCAACUCCAGAACUGCCUUUGAGACUGCAUCGCUUGAAUCCAGGAGAGGUGAGUGGAAUUCCGAGUGUAGAGGUGAAAUUCGUAGAUAUUCGGAAGAACACCAGUGGCGAAGGCGGCUCACUGGACUGGUAUUGACGCUGAGGUGCGAAAGCGUGGGGAGCAAACAGG